GGCUCCCUGGAGAAAUGUGACCUGCAGUCAAUGCAGACUGCAGAGGAGCCGAGCAGGAGGAGGAACACAGAUCCAGGCGGCAACGGCUGAGGGACAGUGCACCACCACCGCCGCCGCCGCUGAGGAUCAGCACCCAGGAACAGUGCACAGCAGCGCAAGGGUCCGGGAGAGCAGCCGCCAACCGAGCAAGACGACGCCUGCCUGACUGGCCCCGCUUUCUGCUGGCUAUGGAGAGGAGCCAGGCCGCCAUUUCUUGGAACAGUCAUCCGGAAAGGAUUGGUCAUCGACUAGGAGACAAAAGACCCACUGCAUGGCAAGCAGCACCGCGCUCCAGACAGUCGGCACCUUGGUUACCCUGCGCUUCUGCAGUGACGACCGGAAACGGAGCGGAUGACUGUACUGACGAGCGGACGCGAUGCACUGGCAGGCUUCUCACCUGUAUAUAAGGCAUCUUCCGGAUCAUGUGAUCUCCUACAUGAACAAUGAUUACCGACUGAAGACGCCGUCUGACCAAGAAGAAUACAUUUCUUCAGAGGUUCCCCAUUAUGAGAAACCACCAAAUAGAUAAUGGCCGGGAUGUUAUGGGAGCCGAUGAUGCCACCCGGAGAGAAGUAUCACACAGCAUCGGACAUUACAAAUGUGCAGCUUUUUACCGGAACUCAGACAUUGUAAGGGCGUGUGUAAAUUUCUCAUCUUCAGCGCCUCAGAUCUGAGGUCACGGUAUUUAGACUAGAAAGCGUCCAAUAUUUACAGACCAACCGGAAUGCGUCUUAAAUGUAUGUGUGUCAUUUUCUGACCUACCGGAAUUCAUUUUUCAGUAUAGGAGGUCCACAGUGUGAGAGAAACUUACCUAUUGGUCCCCAAAAGUCACAUGACAUCACGCCCUACUGUAUAUUAACCCCACAACCUCCAUUUUGUCCUUUGAAAGGUUGGAUAGGGAGGAGAAAAAAGAAAGACUCUGUGUUGGGGCACACUUGGAAAUUUAUGAAUUUAUUAAAACUUAACUUUUAAUAUUAAUAUCACAUAAAAAAGAAGAAGAUAGUUUGAUACAAAAAAAUGUUCAAGUACACAGAGUAUACAUAUGAUAAUGACAGUCUACACAGAAAUAUUGAAAAGUAUAAAGUGUAACAACAAAGUAAAUGGUAGAUUAUUAAUGAUUCAAAAAUUAAUUAGCAGAAAUCGUUAACAAAAAUCAGGAUAAACCUGAUGGAAAAUUAAGAGCACCUAUGGUGAAAAAUUUGUAAAGAAAAAAACAAUUAUAUGCCUGAAUAAGUCAAGAUAAAUAAUAAAAGGUGAGAUCACUGUGGUAAUGAUUAUAGGUUGUUAGUGAUCUAUUAACCUAUGUGAUCUAGAAAGAAGGCAUGAGAAAAGGUAUAAUAAUAAUAUAAAUCAUAAUUGGAAUACCAAUUAGCUGAUGGUGGUCCCCUUGGUGGAAGCUAUGUUUGCUACACAAAAGAUCCUAAUGUAAGAAGACGUUUGUACAAAUUUUGAAAACAAACGACAUA